rnacentral:rRNA from 1 species
AGUGAACGCUGGCGGCGUGCUUAACACAUGCAAGUCGAACGAGAACGGAUUAUAGCUUGCUAUAAUUGUCAGCUAAGUGGCGCACGGGUGAGUAAUGUAUAGGUAAUAUGCCUCUUACUAAGGGAUAACAAAUGGAAACGUUUGCUAAUACCUUAUACUCCUUAUUAACAGAAGUUAAUAAGGGAAAGAUUUAUUGGUAAGAGAUUAGCCUGUAUUGUAUCAGUUAGUUGGUGGGGUAAUGGCUUACCAAGACUAUGACGCAUAACUGGUUUGAGAGGAUGAUCAGUCACACUGGAACUGAGACGCGGUCCAGACUCCUACGGGAGGCAGCAGUGGGGAAUAUUGCACAAUGGACGAAAGUCUGAUGCAGCAACGCCGCGUGGAGGAUGACACAUUUCGGUGCGUAAACUCCUUUUAUAUGAGAAGAUAAUGACGGUAUUAUAUGAAUAAGCACCGGCUAACUCCGUGCCAGCCGCCGCUGUAA